rnacentral:rRNA from 1 species
CCUACGGGAGGCUGCAGUGAGGAAUAUUGGUCAAUGGCCGGGAGGCUGAACCAGCCAAGCCGCGUGAGGGAGGAAGGCGCAGAGCGUCGCAGACCUCUUUUGCCGGGGGACAAAAGGCCGGACUCGUCCGGUCCUGAGGGUACCCGGAGAAAAAGCAUCGGCUAACUCCGUGCCAGCAGCCGCGGUAAUACGGAGGAUGCGAGCGUUAUCCGGAUUUAUUGGGUUUAAAGGGUGCGCAGGCGGUCUGUUAAGCCGGCGGUGAAAUCGCGGGGCUCAACCCCGCCCAGCCGUCGGAACUGGGGGCCUCGAGUGCGGCGGAGGCAUGCGGAAUGCGCGGUGUAGCGGUGAAAUGCAUAGAUAUCGCGCAGAACCCCGAUUGCGAAGGCAGCGUGCCGUGUCGCCACUGACGCUGAGGCACGAAAGCGCGGGGAUCGAACAGGAUUAGAUACCCGGGUAGUC